AGCGCAGGCGGGAAACUAAGCGGAUCUUAAAAGUGCGGGGCUCAACCCCGUGAUGGGGUCCGAACUGGUUUUUCUUGAGUGCAGGAGAGGAAAGCGGAAUUCCCAGUGUAGCGGUGAAAUGCGUAGAUAUUGGGAAGAACACCAGUGGCGAAGGCGGCUUUCUGGACUGUAACUGACGCUGAGGCUCGAAAGCUAGGGUAGCGAACG
rnacentral:rRNA from 1 species